GAAAUUUUCCCGAAGCGUGAUGGGCUAUUUUUCUAUUAGUGUGUUUUUGUGUCAAUACAAUUGGUAAGAGGGAGAUAGUAAUGAGAUGUUAUACGAAUACGCGGAUAACUGGUUAUUUACUAAUAAAAUGAAUUUGAAGAUAUAGUCUAAGAGAUUAGUUUUAGGCUAGAGUUUGUUUAAAGGUGUGUGUUGAGGUUGGCUUGAUCUAAUGGUGGUAUGAUGAAUUUGUGUGUUAUAACAAGACUUUGGUUUAUUUUGAUUAAAGUUAGGUAGCAAAAGGUAGUGGAUUGAUUAUAGUGUUAGGUUAUAUAAUAUAAUAAUGUAAUUAUGAGUAUUUUGGUACAUAAGAUUAUGUGUAAUUUAGUUGGGUAAUUAGUAUAAAGCUUAAGGGGCUUCUUAAUAAAUUCGGCAAAUAUAUUUCUAACUGUUUAUCAAAAACAUUUCUUUUGUAAUAAUCAAAGGUAGGGCCUGCCCGGUGAUUGGUUUAACGGCUGCGGUAUUCUGACCGUACGAAGGUAGCAUAAUAAGUAGUCUUUUAAUUGGGGACUGGAAUGAAAGGUAUUAUAAGAAAUAGGCUGUUUUGGAAGUAUAAUAAAAAUUGAUUAACAAGUUAAAAGGCUUGAAUAAAUAAAAGUGACAAGAAGACCCUAGGAGUUUUAUACUUAGGUUGUGAUAGUAGCUGGUGUGUUUAGUUGUGUUGCAGUAUAAGUGUUUAACUGGGGCGGUUAAAAUAUUAUCAAUUCUUGAAUGUUACUAAAAUAGAAGGAGUGGUUUAAUAAAGAGAUCCUAAUAGGAAAUCUGAGAAAAUUACCUUAGGGAUAACAGCAUAAUCUCUCUUGAGAGAUCUUAUUGACAGGGGGGUUUGUGACCUCGAUGUUGGAUUUGAAUAGCUAUAAGGAGCAGAAUUUUUAUAAGUUGGUUUGUUCAAUCGCAUUAAAUU
rnacentral:rRNA from 1 species